AGGGAACAACACAUUUGUCAAACA
rnacentral:siRNA from 1 species